AGGACCAAAAAAAAAAAGCAAAAUAAAAAUUCGAGCAACACCUUGGUGCCUGGUUUGAUGGGGGCAGAUGGAAAGAGAAAUGAACCAAGAACAAACAAUAUGAAAAGAAUGAAGAAGGCCGUCAAAAUUAAGCUGCAAUAUUAGUCCUUCUUCGCAGAGGAUAAAGAAUACAUGCCUGUGAGCAUUUUACAUGCUGCCUGCAUAGCUGUGGUACCCCUGUGCUUGAGAUGUAAAGAAAAGACAUAAAGCAAGCAAUAACAAAAAAAUGACAAUAUAAUUUAAUUUCGUGACUUCAAGAGAACAACUUUCGCGGUAACGCCUGCUUGCAGCUCGUUGGAGAGGAGACCAAAGAGAUCAGCAAUUCCCGAUAAUUAGCUGCCAAAAAAUAACGCAACUUUGGUGUUUUUCAACAGUUUAUCACGACAUCGAAUCCAAGUUCAAAAGGACGACGCUUCGUAUGAAGAAACAGAACGAAGGUUACGGCCUUCACUGUCACCGCGCCAUCAUCACGUUGUGCAAGCUGAUCGGCUUGAAGGACAUAUACUGUAAAGUGGAAGGUUCGGUCAACCUCCUGAACAUCACCAGGGCGCUCUUCUCCGGCCUGGCCCAACAGG